rnacentral:rRNA from 1 species
UACGAACUGUGCGAACGUUAUUCGGAAUCACUGGGCUUAAAGGGUGCGUAGGCGGCUUGUUAAGUCAGGUGUGAAAUCCCCCGGCUCAACCGGGGAACAGCGCGUGAAACUAGCAGGCUUGAGUGAGGUAAGGGUGUGCGGAACUUCCAGUGGAGCGGUGAAAUGUGUAGAUAUUGGAAGGAACGCCGGUGGCGAAAGCGGCACACUGGGCCUUGUCUGACGCUGAGGCACGAAAGCUAGGGGAGUGAACGGG